rnacentral:lncRNA from 1 species
GGCUAUACUUACCCAAGUAGGUGAAAAUAAGUCAAGUGCACAACUAAUAUAAACCCAAACUUAUAUAUUAAAAGGAAGCAAGGGAUGUCUAAUACAUCCGCAUAUAAGGUUCGCUCAUGAGUCCAUCGUCAAAAAUAAAGUAAAUGCCAAAUAAAGAAAGUGUCUCACAUCACUGAAUUCACUAUGUCCACCUAAAAGUAUACUCCCCGAUCUCGUAAUCAUGAACGGAGAUUUCACGGUCUGGGGUAACUAAGGCGAUAUCACAUGUGGCAAGAGGCGCACGAUGCACUGCAUAUCGAGGAGAAGGUAUGUAUAAGGGGUUCAACCCGAAUAUGAACUCAUAGUCUACGAUCCCGAUCCUCAUCUCCCUAUAAUUGGCGUUGGGACCAGCCACAACCUUAUGGUAAAGAGGUUGUUGUCCUUGCACUUAACCAUGCUCGAAGUGUUUAGCAGAUUCCUUAUAAAAUUGAGCACAACACACAUCAUACCAUCUAAUAUUGUUGUCCUUAUUUUUUAUUAGGGCUUUUUAGAUGUAGGUCCAAAACGAUUAGCUGUCAUCGGGUUUAGUCCUCGCGUCUUUGGUUUUAGAUGUAGGUCCUUUGACAUUUAAUUUUUUUUUUUUGUGUCGAUUUUAGCCUUUAAGGUAAAUAAGGAAAACACGUUGAAAAUCUAAAUUUAAUGCAUUAUUUCCUCGUAAUUGAAUUCUAGAAUUUAAAUUUUGAAUUCUUUUCUUGAUAAUAUUCCUAAUAUAUUGAUAAAAUACAAUUUAAUCAAUAAAAAAUAAGGACCCACAUAUUAUAUCAAUCGAUCAGACAAGCACCCGCAUUAAAUUAUGUACCUGACAUACAGGUAAAUAAUGUUAUUAUUAGCAACGAAAAAUACUUAGUGAUAAAUCGUGUUACCUAUAAGUUAGGAACAUAAAUUAGAAGACUACCUAUAAGUCAGAUGCAAAAAUAGACAAAAUAAAAAAUUGUAUGUUACCUAUAAAAAAAUAAAAAAAAUAAAAAAAAGGUAUAUAAAAUACUAUUACACAUUGUCGAAAAUAUGAAAAAACAUAUAUAUACCUAUGCAACAGGCAAUAGGCAAUAUGACAUAAAUCACUAUUACCCG